AGAGUUUGAUCAUGGCUCAGGAUGAACGCUGGCGGCGUGCUUAACACAUGCAAGUCGAACGGUGAAGCCAAGCUUGCUUGGUGGAUCAGUGGCGAACGGGUGAGUAACACGUGAGCAACCUGCCCUGAACUCUGGGAUAAGCGCUGGAAACGGCGUCUAAUACUGGAUAUGAGCUGCGGAGGCAUCUUCGUGGUUGGAAAGAUUUUUCGGUUUGGGAUGGGCUCGCGGCCUAUCAGCUUGUUGGUGAGGUAAUGGCUCACCAAGGCGUCGACGGGUAGCCGGCCUGAGAGGGUGACCGGCCACACUGGGACUGAGACACGGCCCAGACUCCUACGGGAGGCAGCAGUGGGGAAUAUUGCACAAUGGGCGGAAGCCUGAUGCAGCAACGCCGCGUGAGGGAUGACGGCCUUCGGGUUGUAAACCUCUUUUAGCAGGGAAGAAGCGAAAGUGACGGUACCUGCAGAAAAAGCGCCGGCUAACUACGUGCCAGCAGCCGCGGUAAUAC
rnacentral:rRNA from 1 species